GGCUCUCUGGGGCGCUGGGGGCUGAAGCACCACAGUCGCUGAUGGCGUGCGGACGGGAGAGCGUCCCCUCCCGAGGCGGGGAGUCCUCAGGUGGCCAAGAAAAGCAAGAGCUCAGAUGGGCCCACGGAGAGGUUUCCUGGCCAGCUUUUUCUCCUGCGCAUUUCACUUACACAGGUGAAAGCCCUUCAGAGAGGGGACCUGGGCCCUCUCUGAGGGCAGAGAGAUUCUCCUCGCCGAUUUCAUGGAGGAAGAGCCGCCUUCAGGAUGUCCACGCGGCAAAGAACUGAGAACAGCCCCCAGCUGACCUUCAGAAGCAACGGGGGCUCUCAGUCCUGCAGCCACAAGGAAAUUAAUUCUGCCAGCAACCUGAAUGAAUCUGGAAGCAGUUUUUCCCCCAGCUGAUGAAAACAUCCGGGCUGAAGCCUUGCCUGCAGUCUCGGGAGACCCCGCGCGGAGGAUUCGGCUACACCGCGCCUGGGCUCCUGACCCACAGAAACUGAGGUGACAUUUUUUGGGCCUUGUUCCCAGAUUCUAAAGAGGUUGUCAGUUUGAAACCUGCAACUUCUUAUAUACUGACUCCACCUUCUAAUUAGAAAAGACGUCUGAAAAUAGAGUGUGCUGGGUCGCCUUCUCCAAGCUUAGAGUCUUUUGAGGAAAUGAAAAAGCGGAGAAAAGAAGAAAGAUGGAAAGAAGAAAGACUGAGUGGUUGCAGUAGAAAAAACUAUAAAACUGGAGGCAGGUCAGGGGCUGGACAGAAGAACCUUUUUCCCUGCCAACGCUAGUGGCUCACAACUGGCCCCAAGCCGCCAGGGCUUCUCAUCAGCCCAGUGGUUUCCUGGUGGAUGCAUUUAUUUUGUUUGAUUAUUUGCUUUUCAAUAAAGUCAACAUGGUCUUGGG